CAGUAGCCGCGGUAAUACGUAGGUGGCAAGCGUUGUCCGGAAUUAUUGGGCGUAAAGGGCUCGCAGGCGGUUUCUCAAGUCUGAUGUGAAAGCCCCCGGCUCAACCGGGGAGGGUCAUUGGAAACUGGGAAACUUGAGUGCAGAAGAGGAGAGUGGAAUUCCACGUGUAGCGGUGAAAUGCGUAGAGAUGUGGAGGAACACCAGUGGUGAAGGCGACUCUCUGGUCUGUAACUGACGCUGAGGAGCGAAAGCGUGGGGAGCGAACAGGAUUAGAUACCCUGUAGUCCCUGUCUCUUAUACA
rnacentral:rRNA from 1 species